rnacentral:tRNA from 6 species
AAGCAUAGCUCAGCUGGGAGAGCAUCUGCCUUACAAGCAGAGGGUCACAGGUUCGAGCCCUGUUGUUUCC